GGUUAGAGCGCGCGCUUGAUAAGCGUGAGGUCGGAAGUUCAAGUCUUCCCAGGCCCACCACACUCAUCGAGUGAGCAUUCGUCUUCUGGUUACGGGGCCAUAGCUCAGCUGGGAGAGCGCGUGCUUUGCAAGCAUGAGGUCGUCGGUUCGAUCCCGUCUGGCUCCACCAGAUGGUUUGAUCACCGACUACUCGUACCGUCGUCCGCGAAACAUCACUUCGCAUUACUAGUCCGGAUGGACAGUAAGCUGCGUGAUUUCUGACAUCGUAAAGAGGAGAUCGAUCCGAGUUGGAUCGGGCAACAAGUAAUUGUUGCGCGAUACUUCAUUAUCUCCGGAUCAUUUCGGCGCUCGUACGUCUUCCAGGGUAGCUCACAAGGCUGCGUCUGAAGGACACGCGAGUUGUAAAUGAUCCUUUUAGCGAAGCUUGACCGCCUCGCUAUCGGAACGAUCUUACGAAGCAAGCUGGUCUUUCUAAUCAUUGUCCGGCUGCAGAUAGCGUUCAUCGAGGGCGCGUGCCUUAGAGACUUAGGUUUCUGGGCAAUUCUGCAGACAACAUUCUGCCGAGUGUGUGGACAUUGAUAAUGAGAGCAAUCAAGUGCCUUAAGGGUGUUCGGUGGAUGCCUUGGCGCUGAGAGGCGAUGAAGGACGUGCUACGCUGCGAUAAGCCGUGGGGAGCUGCGAAGAAGCUUUGAUCCAUGGAUUUCC
rnacentral:misc_RNA from 1 species